CAAUGAAGCCCCUUUUAAAGUUUUUAUCGAUAAAUGCUCUGAGUUCUUUCAGUUCUCUGGGAGACAUGCAGUACAUUUGUGGUUUGGGGAGUUUAGCCCCUGGUAGGAUUUUGAUAGCUCAGUCGAGUGUGAUGGGGUGGGGA